AUUGAACGCUGGCGGCAGGCCUAACACAUGCAAGUCGAACGAGUGGCGGAAGUGUGAGUAAUGUCUGGGAAACUUCCUGAUGGAGGGGGAUAACUAAUGGAAACGGUAGCUACUACCGCAUACCAUCGGAUGUUCCCAGAUGGGAUUAGCUAGUAGGUGGGGUAAAGGCUCACCUAGGCGACCAUCCCUAGCUGGUCUGAGAGGAUGACCAGCCACACUGGAACGAAGACACGGUCCAGACUCCUACGGGAGGCAGCAGUGGGGAAUAUGGCACAAUGGGCGCAAGCCUGAUGCAGCCAUGCCGCGUGUAUGAAGAAGGCCUUCGGGUUGUAAAGUACUUGCAGCGGGGAGGCGUUACCCGCAGAAGAAGCACCGGCUAACUCCGUGCCAGCAGCCGCGGUAAUUC
rnacentral:rRNA from 1 species